UACAUAUUCCCUGGGCUGUCCUUAAUCUGAUGCUGAACCAAAUCUGAUAUAUACUUGCCUUGGCCCCUGCAACAAGGAUAUUUCAUUUCAGAGCAGCACUGCGACAUGGUACAUGUCAUCAUGAUUGAAUGGUUUGGUGUCAUUCUUGUGUGAACUUCAGAGGGUCUAUUUACUUUCUUCUUACUUAAGGGCCAGCCCACAGAUUGACGAGGGCGUUCCUUUUAAAGAACACACCAAACAAUGGUGGCUGGCUCAGCUGGUUCUCUGGAGGGGAAAAGAGGUUAAUCAGAAGGAGGCUCAUCUACCCGAGGACAAAGACAAAUCGAUUAUCUGGGAUCCAACCCUGCACAGAUGGGUUGACAAAAUUGAGCACAAUGCUGAGAACAAGCCAGUACCACCACCUCCCCCGAUGGGAAUGAAUGGACAUCUGGGGAACUCUGGCAGUCUCCCCAAAGGAGUGAAUCCUUAGUCCAUGAAAGCAGGUGAAUG